rnacentral:rRNA from 1 species
GAUGAACGCUGGCGGUAUGCUUAACACAUGCAAGUCGAACGGACUCUUCGGAGUUAGUGGCGGACGGGUGAGUAACGCGUGAGAAUCUGGCUUUGGGUUCGGGACAACCACUGGAAACGGUGGCUAAUACCGGAUGUGCCGAGAGGUAAAAGAGAAAUUGCCUGAAGAUGAGCUCGCGUCUGAUUAGCUAGUUGGUGAGGUAAAGGCUCACCAAGGCAGCGAUCAGUAGCUGGUCUGAGAGGAUGACCAGCCACACUGGGACUGAGACACGGCCCAGACUCCUACGGGAGGCGGCAGUGGGGAAUUUUCCGCAAUGGGCGAAAGCCUGACGGAGCAAUACUGCGUGAGGGAAGAAGGCUCUUGGGUUGUAAACCUCUUUUCUUAGGGAAGAACAAAAUGACGGUACCUAAGGAAUCAGCAUCGGCUAACUCCGUG